rnacentral:rRNA from 1 species
CCUACGGGGCGCAGCAGUAAGGGAUAUUGGUCAAUGGGGGAAACCCUGAACCAGCAACGCCGCGUGAGGGAAGACGGUUUUCGGAUUGUAAACCUCUGUCCUCUGUGAAGAUGAUGACGGUAGCAGAGGAGGAAGCUCCGGCUAACUACGUGCCAGCAGCCGCGGUAAUACGUAGGGGGCAAGCGUUAUCCGGAUUUACUGGGUGUAAGGGAGCGUAGACGGCAGGGCAAGUCUGGAGUGAAAGCCCGGGGCCCAACCCCGGGACUGCUUUGGAAACUGCCAUGCUAGAGUGCUGGAGAGGUAAG